rnacentral:lncRNA from 7 species
GGAGUAAAUGGGGGGGGGGGGGGGGGGAGGAGCUAGACAGCAGCCGCAUUGAAUCCGACCGGCCUCAACUGUGAGCGCCCCCCACCCCACUACGGUCUCCGAGGUUCCGCACGGGCGACACGUGUGUACGUCUGCUGCUCGCGCUGCAUGCCCUGGUCGGCUGGUCGUGGUCGCGCGCUAGAAAAAAAGGCAGAGGCUGAUGAGUUGACAUGGAAGGUUCUGAUAACAGUCGGGAUUACGGAACGCCCGUAAUGGCUGUGUGUGCGCCCCUGAUGCUUGCUGGCAAUUGCUGCUGACUGGAGACAAGGGUACGGUUGAAUUUGUUACUGCCUCUGGGCCUGCCUUGCUGCUCUAGCUAUAUACUCCGUACUAGUAGUAGUCAUUUACUCCUGCUGUCAGCAUGAGCUAGUUGUACUAGCAUCGAGCAACGCUAUACUGGUAUUCACAAUUACUGCGUUCAUCAGGGGCAGAAUUAGAUACAGCUAGAUAGUGUAGCUUUUAAAGCCGCGCGCGCCCAAGGGGCCAGGGCCAGUACACUUUGGUCAAUCCGUUCAUC